AAUACUCUAAUCUCAUUUUUUCACAUUUAUGCAUAAAACAUGGAAAAUAUAAAAACUAUAAAUAUAUAUAUAUACAGAUAACAAAAGUUUCGUAUAAAAAAAGUUUCGUAUAAAAAACAAGGGGUAUUUUCUCAGAGAAAAAUCUAAUAGUCGCACUAAAAAAGAGGAUACCGUAAACCCUUGAAUCAUAAAACAAGAAAAAAUACUUCCAAAGGACGUUACGAUCGAGUUUUGAACCCUCGAAUCCCCUAAUUUCAGGUAUAUCCUAUAUGCCAUAAGAAAGCUUAUAAAAUGAGGAACACAAGCUAUUUUAUGAAUAUAGUGCACGGAUUUGGUUUAAGGGAUAUUACGGGGUCCAUAUUACGGCGCUCAAAAAUAAAAAACGGCCAAAAUCAAGAAAAAAUAAUUCCAAAGGACGUCACGAUCGAGUUUUAAACCCUCGAAUCCCCUAACUGUAGGUAUAUCCUAUAUACCAUAAGAAAGCUUAUAUAAUAAGGAACAUCAGCUAUAUAGUGAAUAUAGUGCACAGAUUCGGUUUAAGGGGUAUCGAGGCGCCCGAAAAUAAAAAAAACGGCCAAAAUUAAGAAAAAUUACUUUCAAAGGACGUUGCGAUCAAGUUUUGAACCCUCGAAUCCCCUAAUUGCAGGUAUAUCCUAUAUACCAUAAGAAAGCUUAUAUAAUAAGGAACACAAGCUAUAUAGUGAAUAUAGUGCACAGAUUCGGUUUAAGGAGUAUUGGGGCGCCCGAAAAUAACAAACGGUCAAAAUCAAGAAAUAUUACUUCCAAAGGACGUUGCGAUCAAGUUUUGAACCCUCGAAUCCCCUAGUUACAGGUAUAACCUAUAUACCAUAAGAAAGCUUAUAAAAUAAGGAACACAAGCUUCAUAGUGAAUAUAGUGCACAGAUUCGGUUUAAGGGGUAUCGAGGCGCCCGAAAAUAAAAAACGGCCAAAAUCAAGAAAAA
rnacentral:lncRNA from 1 species